UCAUUACUAGAAAUAUAAUUUAUUGGCAUUUUAGUUCCAAGUAAAGUGCAAUACUGAUAGUAUGUACUUACCAGUGUUAAAUUGUGUAAGUGUAGUCUUGCACAAAUCUUUAAUAUGUCAAUUGCUUCUUCCAGGUUAAUCUAAGACUUGGAGCUUCUCAUAUUUUACCUGUGAGGAAAAAGACCCCACUAAAGUCACAUUUAGAGUCAUUUAGAGUUUCAGAAGAGAUCUCAACAAUGUCUCACAUUGUGCUCAAGUCUGUCUGUAAUCAAAUAUGAAUUCAUACAUUUCUUGUCAAACGUUUCUAAUAAAACCAAAUGAUCUGAGCUGAUGAUCAAGGCCAUCCAACUGUCAUCGGCAAUGUGAAAAGUGUGACCCUUUCCUGUAAAUGAGAGACAUUAUAAGUAUCUGGAUUGGUUUUACACUCCGGCCGAGGAUCUACGGUUCCUCACGUUCUAGAUCUCACUUGAAAGUUUCACGCUUCGUCAAAAAACACUGAGGAAUCCCUAAUAAACCCCAAAGAGAGAAAUUUGGUGCGAGCCUCUUGCCAACUUUCCAUCACCAUGACAAGCACCACCAGCGACCAAAAGGCCGUCUCCUGCCCCCUGAUGACCAAACCUCCCCGUCAGCGGCUGGUCAGCAAGGACGGCCGGAGCCUGAUGCGAGGCAGUGCCCCGGGCUCCAG